AGAAAAUUAAGUUUCUUAAUUUUUAUCCUUACAAAUAGGACCUUCUCUGACAUUAAAAGUUGCACGUAGGUCCACUGUGGUUUUUCCAAUAUGAAUUAUUCCCUCGUUAGUAAGUGACUACUUCACCAGAUUGUAUUUUAGUAACCUUGGAGUUUUUCCCUUGAGAAAAAUAGGAACUGGUUUCCAAAACUAAUGAACCACUAAAUAUUUGCACAGCUAGGUGUACAUAAAUAUACAGAGUGAAAUUGAAACACACACAGACACUGAUCUCACAAGUUGUCAAACUAUCUUACACGCAUUACACAGAUUACAAGGGAUCCUCAUCCCAAACUCCAAAGGUACAAGAACAGUCAUAAAUUAAAGGCAGAUUCUCAUAGUUGUCAGAAAUAACACGAAGAUUCUCAUGAAUGUCUAUAUACGCAGUUGUACAACCACAAAUAAGCAAAAAGUUUUGCUCCUGUAGUACACAGACGUAAAAUAAUUCAUACACAUUUAAUUCGCCAAUAUAUUAAUACCCACACAAGCACAUCGAACUUCAAACCCAGCAGAAAAAUAAAAAGUUGGUAAUACAUUUGAUAGCAUAAUGUAAAUGCAAAUAUAUGAGCAUCUAAGUGUCUACGGAUUCGUGUGUCAAGCAGUGUUAUUGACCAGACUGACCACACCGGUCGGUUCAUCUGGAAAAAAUAAGAACUAAUCCUAUUAUAGGCAGAAAUUAGCAACCUUUUAAACUCACCCAAGUUAAUUUCAAGCAGUGUUUUUGGGUACAAACCAGUUAAUUUCAUUCUAAUAUUUUCAUUUUCCAAGGUUGAGCUCCAUUCUUUUAGAUUGGAACCUGAACUUUGUCCAGGAAAGGGAUCCCCUUUGUCACCGAUUUUUAGAAUGGCUCCAGUGGCUCAUUUAUGCUAAGCCCUUGUUUGGCCCCCAUUACGUGGGAAAAUUAAUGGGUGGAAUAGUGUUUUUGUGAAAAAUGAGUGUUUGAAAACAAAGGAAAAAUCUUAGAUUUAUUUGUUAUAUUAUUUUAUGGAAGAUUGUGAGGUUAAAAAUAGGAGAGAGAAAAAUGUAAUGUAAUGAAAAUAAAUGGGCUCAAACGGGGACUAAGUCUAGUCACUUGGGCCACUGUACCUUUUGAUUAUGGUAUUGUAUUGUCAGAUCCAUACAUAGGCAUAAUCUCUGAUGCUUGGACUCUUCGAAAUUGUUGUAGUACUUAUGUCAGACAUGACAUGGGUAUGGAUAUGUGUCCGAUCCUCCAACUUUUAACCGGACACUUCGCCAUUCUUUGCUUUUUUUUUUUUUUUUUUUUACUCUCUAUAAACCUAGCGCCACCUCCGAAAGGGUGGAGAAAGGCAACGGCACUAGAUUUUCCCUUCUUAUUCCUUUUUUCUUUCCCUUUUGUUUCUGUUUCCUUCUUUCCUCUCUCUGUAUCAGUGGUUUAAAGUUUUGUUUAUAUAAAAUGAAAAUGAGUUUCACAUAAUACUACAUAACGCUCCACUAGAUCCAAAUUGUAUUCAAGUCUCUCAUUUUCUAUUUUAUAUAAUAUUUAGUAAUUAAUUUUUCAUAAUUGAAAAUUAAACCCCAAAAUUUUAUUUUAUUCGUCUUAACCCCUUAUUCAAUACUAUUUCCUUCUUUGUGAACAAUUGAUUGUUGGUCUAUCCAAAAUAACAUCUUGAGUUAGUAAAAAAUUUGAAGUUUGAAAGAUGUAUCCACGUACCCGUGUCCAAAAUUUAGAUUCUUUUUAGCCAUCUCCUCGUAUCCUACAUUUUAGAAAAUAAAAGAUUAGACACUUAGAUACAUUACCCGUACACAAGUACGAGCAUCAUGGGGCAUAAUUAACCAACAAUACUUGAGUUUUACAGGAACAUAUUUUUUAUGCCUUGAGAAACUACACCUCAGCACUAGUUUAUCAGAAACUGACAUUUGAGUCAAGCAGUACAUCGAUUAAUUAACAACUAAAUUUAUUUCUUAAUUCGAUGCAUUAUGGCAGUCAAAUCACAGUUUAUUUAAUCAUGAUUAAACUUUGUAUUACCUGAAGCCAGUUAAAAAGCAAGGAUUUAAAUGAAAUUCAAAGCCUAACCAAAUUGAAGCUUAUCUUGGCUCAUUGUUUCUAGGUGUUUAUACACUAGAAGCAAAAAACAUUUUGAGUCAAACCAAUUUUAUACGACCCACAAAUACUACCCACUUCAAUGCCACUCAUUUAC
rnacentral:lncRNA from 1 species